GGAUGCGAUCAUACCAGCAGUGAAGCACCGGAUCCCAUCAAAACUCGGAAGUUAAGGUGCUUGGGUGAGAGUAGUACUAGGAUGGGCGACCUCCUCGGAAGUCCUCGUGUUGCAUUCC
rnacentral:rRNA from 1 species